rnacentral:rRNA from 1 species
UAGAUACAGAACCAAUACACCAUCUGUUAACAGCAGGUGGUGUAAAAAAGGUGAUUCAUAGUAACCGAACGGAUCGCAUUAUGGUCAUUUUAUAUGGCUGGCGAUAGAUCAUUCAAGUUUCUGACCUAUCAGCUUUCGACGGUAGUGUAUUGGACUACCGUGGCAGUGACGGGUAACGGGGAAUUAGGGUUCGAUUCCGGAGAGGGAGCCUGAGAAACGGCUACCACAUCUAAGGAAGGCAGCAGGCGCGCAAAUUACCCAAUCCUGACUCAGGGAGGUAGUGACAAGAAAUAACAACACUGGAAAUUUUAUUUCUAGUGAUUGGAAUGAUGGGAAUUUAAACCCCUUUCGAGUAACAAUUGGAGGGCAAGUCUGGUGCCAGCAGCCGCGGUAAUUCCAGCUCCAAUAGCGUAUAUUAAAGUUGUUGCAGUUAAAAAGCUCGUAGUUGGAUGUCUGCUGGAAGCAAUCAGUCCGCCCUAUUUGUAGGGUGUGCACUUGAUGAAUUCUGGCAUCUAUGUCCCAAUAAUAUAAGAUGGUGUAUACCGUGUACACCCAUAUAUCUUGGGAUAAUACCGUUACUUUGAUAAAAUUAGAGUGUUUGAAGGAGGCUAAUUGCCUUGAAUACUGGAACAUGGAAUAACGAUAUAGGAUUUCGGUUCUAUUUUGCUGGUUUCUAGGACUGAAAUAAUGAUUAAUAGGGACAGUUGGGGGCAUUCGUAUUU